rnacentral:lncRNA from 1 species
AUUCAAUGGGUCACAUACUUUGAGAUUUGAUCUUGAUCUAAUUUAAUUAGGAUUUAAUAUAAAUCUUAGGGGUUAAUUUGAUAUGCUAGCAUAUUGUAUUAACUCAAGUUCCCAAUUAGGUUAGUUCAAAUGAAUUUGAGCUAGUCUUAACCUAUUGCUUUUGAUCUAAUUAGAUUAGAUCCAAUUUAUUUGAUUUAUGUCCUUAUCUUAGAAUUAUUUUAAAUGAAAAAGAAGUCCUCCAUGCCACC